GUAAUGCUCACCAAGCGACGACGGUAGCCGCCUGAGAGGUGACCGGCCACACUGGACUGAGACACGGCCAGACUCCUACGGGAGGCAGCAGUGGGAAUAUUGCACAAUGGGCGAAAGCCUGAUGCAGCAACGCCGCGUGAGGGAUGACGGCCUUCGGGUUGUAAACCUCUUUUAGUAGGGAAGAAGCGAAAGUGACGGUACCUGCAGAAAAAGCACCGGCUAACUACGUGCCAGCAGCCGCGGUAAUACGUAGGGUGCAAGCGUUGUCCGGAAUUAUUGGGCGUAAAGAGCUCGUAGGCGGUUUGUCGCGUCUGCUGUGAAAUCUGGGGGCUCAACCCCCAGCCUGCAGUGGGUACGGGCAGACUAGAGUGCGGUAGGGGAGAUUGGAAUUCCUGGUGUAGCGGUGGAAUGCGCAGAUAUCAGGAGGAACACCGAUGGCGAAGGCAGAUCUCUGGGCCGUAACUGACGCUGAGGAGCGAAAGCAUGGGGAGCGAACAGGAUUAGAUACCCUGGUAGUCCAUGCCGUAAACGUUGGGAACUAGAUGUGGGGGCCAUUCCACGGUCUCCGUGUCGCAGCUAACGCAUUAAGUUCCCCGCCUGGGGAGUACGGCCGCAAGGCUAAAACUCAAAGGAAUUGACGGGGGCCCGCACAAGCGGCGGAGCAUGCGGAUUAAUUCGAUGCAACGCGAAGAACCUUACCAAGGCUUGACAUAUACCGGAAACGUCCAGAGAUGGUCGCCCCGCAAGGUCGGUAUACAGGUGGUGCAUGGUUGUCGUCAGCUCGUGUCGUGAGAUGUUGGGUUAAGUCCCGCAACGAGCGCAACCCUCGUUCUAUGUUGCCAGCACGUUAUGGUGGGAACUCAUAGGAGACUGCCGGGGUCAACUCGGAGGAAGGUGGGGAUGACGUCAAAUCAUCAUGCCCCUUAUGUCUUGGGCUUCACGCAUGCUACAAUGGCCGGUACAAAGGGCUGCGAUACCGUAAGGUGGAGCGAAUCCCAAAAAGCCGGUCUCAGUUCGGAUUGAGGUCUGCAACUCGACCUCAUGAAGUCGGAGUCGCUAGUAAUCGCAGAUCAGCAACGCUGCGGUGAAUACGUUCCCGGGCCUUGUACACACCGCCCGUCAAGUCAUGAAAGUCGGUAACACCCGAAGCCAGUGGCCUAACCCUUGUGGAUGGAGC
rnacentral:rRNA from 1 species